GAUGAACGCUGGCGGCGUGCCUAAUACAUGCAAGUCGAGCGAACGGACGAGAAGCUUGCUUCUCUGAUGUUAGCGGCGGACGGGUGAGUAACACGUGGAUAACCUACCUAUAAGACUGGGAUAACUUCGGGAAACCGGAGCUAAUACCGGAUAAUAUUUUGAACCGCAUGGUUCAAAAGUAAAAGACGGUCUUGCUGUCACUUAUAGAUGGAUCCGCGCUGCAUUAGCUAGUUGGUAAGGUAACGGCUUACCAAGGCAACGAUGCAUAGCCGACCUGAGAGGGUGAUCGGCCACACUGGAACUGAGACACGGUCCAGACUCCUACGGGAGGCAGCAGUAGGGAAUCUUCCGCAAUGGGCGAAAGCCUGACGGAGCAACGCCGCGUGGGUGAUGAAGGUCUUCGGAUCGUAAAACUCUGUUAUUAGGGAAGAACAUAUGUGUAAGUAACUGUGCACAUCUUGACGGUACCUAAUCAGAAAGCCACGGCUAACUACGUG
rnacentral:rRNA from 1 species